GGGAAAUGGGGAUCUCGAGUUGAAGGUCUGCCCUCACCUCAUGGGAGCGAGGGGACACAGUCGUGGACCAAUGAGUCGGUGCAGCAAGCUCCUGAAGAGUGGCCUGAGCCUAGAGUCCGUGGCACCGAGACAACCACGUUGGAUUCUGGAGUUGCAAGUACUGAGACGAUUGAAGCUGAAGUUGUGGAGGCUGAAGGUGGAAGGCAGAAAUGAGAGGCUG
rnacentral:misc_RNA from 1 species